AUGGCCAGGCUGUCUCCACCCGAGACUCAGUGAAAUUGAACUCGCUGUGAAGAUGCAGUGUACCCGCGGCAAGACGGAAAGACCCCGUGAACCUUUACUAUAGCUUGACACUGAACAUUGAGCCUUGAUGUGUAGGAUAGGUGGGAGGCUUGGAAGUGUGGACGCCAGUCUGCACGGAGCCGACCUUGAAAUACCACCCUUUAAUGUUUGAUGUUCUAACGUUGACCCGUAAUCCGGGUUGCGGACAGUGUCUGGUGGGUAGUUUGACUGGGGCGGUCUCCUCCUAAAGAGUAACGGAGGAGCACGAAGGUUGGCUAAUCCUGGUCGGACAUCAGGAGGUUAGUGCAAU
rnacentral:rRNA from 1 species